rnacentral:rRNA from 1 species
GGUUAAGCGACUAAGCGUACACGGUGGAUGCCCUGGCAGUCAGAGGCGAUGAAGGACGUGCUAAUCUGCGAAAAGCGUCGGUAAGGUGAUAUGAACCGUUAUAGCCGGCGAUGUCCGAAUGGGGAAACCCAGUGUGAUUCGUCACACUAUCGUUAACUGAAUACAUAGGUUAACGAGGCGAACCGGGGGAACUGAAACAUCUAAGUACCCCGAGGAAAAGAAAUCAACCGAGAUUCCCCCAGUAGCGGCGAGCGAACGGGGAGCAGCCCAGAGUCUGAAUCAGCUUGUGUGUUAGUGGAACGGUCUGGAAAGUCCGACGGUACAGGGUGAUAGUCCCGUACACCAAAAUGCACAGGUUGUGAACUCGAAGAGUAGGGCGGGACACGUGGUAUCCUGUCUGAAUAUGGGGGGACCAUCCUCCAAGGCUAAAUACUCCUGACUGACCGAUAGUGAACCAGUACCGUGAGGGAAAGGCGAAAAGAACCCCGGCGAGGGGAGUGAAAAAGAACCUGAAACCGUGUACGUACAAGCAGUGGGAGCACCUUCGGGUGUGACUGCGUACCUUUUGUAUAAUGGGUCAGCGACUUAUAUUCUGUAGCAAGGUUAACCGUAUAGGGGAGCCGCAGGGAAACCGAGUCUUAACUGGGCGUUAAGUUGCAGGGUAUAGACCCGAAACCCGGUGAUCUAGCCAUGGGCAGGUUGAAGGUUGGGUAACACUAACUGGAGGACCGAACCGACUAAUGUUGAAAAAUUAGCGGAUGACUUGUGGCUGGGGGUGAAAGGCCAAUCAAACCGGGAGAUAGCUGGUUCUCCCCGAAAGCUAUUUAGGUAGCGCCUCGUGAAUUCAUCUUCGGGGGUAGAGCACUGUUUCGGCUAGGGGGUCAUCCCGACUUACCAACCCGAUGCAAACUACGAAUACCGAAGAAUGUUAUCACGGGAGACACACGGCGGGUGCUAACGUCCGUCGUGAAGAGGGAAACAACCCAGACCGCCAGCUAAGGUCCCAAAGUCAUGGUUAAGUGGGAAACGAUGUGGGAAGGCACAGACAGCCAGGAUGUUGGCUUAGAAGCAGCCAUCAUUUAAAGAAAGCGUAAUAGCUCACUGGUCGAGUCGGCCUGCGCGGAAGAUGUAACGGGGCUAAACCAUGCACCGAAGCUGCGGCAGCGACACUAUGUGUUGUUGGGUAGGGGAGCGUUCUGUAAGCCUGCGAAGGUGACCUGUGAGGGUUGCUGGAGGUAUCAGAAGUGCGAAUGCUGACAUAAGUAACGAUAAAGCGGGUGAAAAGCCCGCUCGCCGGAAGACCAAGGGUUCCUGUCCAACGUUAAUCGGGGCAGGGUGAGUCGACCCCUAAGGCGAGGCCGAAAGGCGUAGUCGAUGGGAAACAGGUUAAUAUUCCUGUACUUGGUGUUACUGCGAAGGGGGGACGGAGAAGGCUAUGUUAGCCGGGCGACGGUUGUCCCGGUUUAAGCAUGUAGGCUGAUUGUCCAGGCAAAUCCGGAUAAUCAAGGCUGAGGUGUGAUGACGAGGCACUACGGUGCUGAAGUAACAAAUGCCCUGCUUCCAGGAAAAGCCUCUAAGCAUCAGGUAACAUCAAAUCGUACCCCAAACCGACACAGGUGGUCAGGUAGAGAAUACCAAGGCGCUUGAGAGAACUCGGGUGAAGGAACUAGGCAAAAUGGUGCCGUAACUUCGGGAGAAGGCACGCUGGUGUGUAGGUGAAGUCCCUGCGGAUGGAGCUGAGACCAGUCGAAGAUACCAGCUGGCUGCAACUGUUUAUUAAAAACACAGCACUGUGCAAACACGAAAGUGGACGUAUACGGUGUGACGCCUGCCCGGUGCCGGAAGGUUAAUUGAUGGGGUUAUCCGUAAGGAGAAGCUCUUGAUCGAAGCCCCGGUAAACGGCGGCCGUAACUAUAACGGUCCUAAGGUAGCGAAAUUCCUUGUCGGGUAAGUUCCGACCUGCACGAAUGGCGUAAUGAUGGCCAGGCUGUCUCCACCCGAGACUCAGUGAAAUUGAACUCGCUGUGAAGAUGCAGUGUACCCGCGGCAAGACGGAAAGACCCCGUGAACCUUUACUAUAGCUUGACACUGAACAUUGAGCCUUGAUGUGUAGGAUAGGUGGGAGGCUUUGAAGCGUGGACGCCAGUCUGCGUGGAGCCAACCUUGAAAUACCACCCUUUAAUGUUUGAUGUUCUAACGUUGGCCCCUGACCGGGGUUGCGGACAGUGUCUGGUGGGUAGUUUGACUGGGGCGGUCUCCUCCCAAAGCGUAACGGAGGAGCACGAAGGUUAGCUAAUCCUGGUCGGACAUCAGGAGGUUAGUGCAAUGGCAUAAGCUAGCUUGACUGCGAGCGUGACGGCGCGAGCAGGUGCGAAAGCAGGUCAUAGUGAUCCGGUGGUUCUGAAUGGAAGGGCCAUCGCUCAACGGAUAAAAGGUACUCCGGGGAUAACAGGCUGAUACCGCCCAAGAGUUCAUAUCGACGGCGGUGUUUGGCACCUCGAUGUCGGCUCAUCACAUCCUGGGGCUGAAGUAGGUCCCAAGGGUAUGGCUGUUCGCCAUUUAAAGUGGUACGCGAGCUGGGUUUAGAACGUCGUGAGACAGUUCGGUCCCUAUCUGCCGUGGGCGCUGGAGAAUUGAGGGGGGCUGCUCCUAGUACGAGAGGACCGGAGUGGACGCAUCACUGGUGUUCGGGUUGUCAUGCCAAUGGCACUGCCCGGUAGCUAAAUGCGGAAGAGAUAAGUGCUGAAAGCAUCUAAGCACGAAACUUGCCCCGAGAUGAGUUCUCCCUGAGACUUUAAGUCUCCUGAAGGAACGUUAAAGACGAUGACGUUGAUAGGCCGGGUGUGUAAGCGCAGCGAUGCGUUGAGCUAACCGGUACUAAUGAACCGUGAGGCUUAACCUU